UGGUACAGAAGCAUCCCUCUUCACUGACUCUGAGGGACCAGCCUUGUGAUUAGACAUGAACUGAAUAUCAGGAGAUGCUCUGUGAUCACGAAGAGGUGAAGACAGUCCCUCCUCCUCUGCUCUCUCCUCAAUAUCCUUUGACCAACCACCAUCAGUCUUUGAAAAACCCAUACAAUGCAGUGUGUAGCGGUUGAUGGAGUCAGAA
rnacentral:lncRNA from 1 species